rnacentral:tRNA from 1 species
AAGAAAGUGGUAGAGGUUGUUUGUCUGAUUUGAAAUCAGGCUAUAAGGGCUUUAUUUCCCUGUCUCUCG